UGUCUUUUAGAAAUUAAUUUAAAGUCUAGCCUGCCCACUGAAUUUUUUUUUAAAUGGCCGCAGUAUCCUAACUGUGCAAAGGUAGCAUAAUCAUUAGUCUUUUAAUUGAAGGCUGGAAUGAAUGGUUGGAUGAAAUAUUAACUGUUUCAUAAAAAUUUAUAAUAAAAUUUUAUUUUUUAGUCAAAAAGCUAAAAUUUAAUUAAAAGACGAGAAGACCCUAUAAAUCUUUAUAUUUAUAAAAUUAUAAUUAUUUAGAUAAUUUUAAUUUUAAUUUUUUCAAAUAUUUUAUUGGGGUGAUAUUAAAAUUUAAUAAACUUUUAAUUUAUAUUUAACAUAAAUUAAUGAAUUAUUGAUCCAUAAAUUAUGAUUAAAAAAUUAAGUUACUUUAGGGAUAACAGCGUAAUUUUUUUAGAGAGUUCAUAUUGAUAAAAAAGAUUGCGACCUCGAUGUUGGAUUAAGAUACAGUUUUAGGUGCAGCAGCUUAAACUUA
rnacentral:rRNA from 1 species